GAACGAACGCUGGCGGCAGGCCUAACCCAUGCAAGUCGAGCGAGGACUUCGGUCCUAGCGGCGGACGGGUGAGUAACGCGUGGGAACGUGCCCUUUGCUUCGGAAUAGCCCUGGGAAACUGGGAGUAAUACCGGAUGAGCCCUUUGGGGGAAAGAUUUAUCGGCGAAGGAUCGGCCCGCGUUGGAUUAGGUAGUUGGUGGGGUAAUGGCCUACCAAGCCGACGAUCCAUAGCUGGUUUGAGAGGAUGAUCAGCCACACUGGGACUGAGACACGGCCCAGACUCCUACGGGAGGCAGCAGUGGGGAAUCUUAGACAAUGGGGGAAACCCUGAUCUAGCCAUGCCGCGUGAGCGAUGAAGGCCUUAGGGUUGUAAAGCUCUUUCAGCUGGGAAGAUAAUGACGGUACCAGCAGAAGAAGCCCCGGCUAACUCCGUG
rnacentral:rRNA from 1 species